CCUACGGGAGGCAGCAGUGAGGAAUAUUGGUCAAUGGCCGAGAGGCUGAACCAGCCAAGUAGCGUGAGGGAAGACUGUCCUAUGGAUUGUAAACCUCUUUUGUCAGGGAGCAAAGGGCGCCACGUGUGGCGCUUUGCGAGUACCUGAAGAAAAAGCAUCGGCUAACUCCGUGCCAGCAGCCGCGGUAAUACGGAGGAUGCGAGCGUUAUCCGGAUUUAUUGGGUUUAAGGGGUGCGCAGGCGGAAUGUCAAGUCAGAGGUAAAAUUUCGGGGCUCAACCCCGUCGUGCCGUUGAAACUGGCGUUCUUGAGUGAGCGAGAAGUAUGCGGAAUUCGUGGUGUAGCGGUGAAAUGCAUAGAUAUCACGCAGAACUCCGAUUGCGAAGGCAGCAUACCGGCGCUCAACUGACGCUCAUGCACGAAAGCGUGGGUAUCGAACAGGAUUAGAUACCCCGGUAGUC
rnacentral:rRNA from 1 species